AACCACGACGAGUAAUUUGGAACGGAGGGAGUAUAUGUUAGGAGCAAUCUGUGUGAACAUUGAACAAAUCGAGAUUACUGCUGACUUAUGGUUCAGGAUGCCUGGUGUUCAGUGCAAGGACAAUAUGUUUGAUGCCUGAACCUGAAUCUGCAUUUGAGAUCUGCCAAGACUUCCUCCCAGAUAUCCGAUUUGUGAACCUAUUUAUUAAGAUGCCCUCUGCAAGGACGCGUUCUCUCAGCACGGCGAUGUUACCCAAGGGAGGUCCAAAGGAUAUGGCUUUGUUAAGCUCUCUUCGGACAGCGAAGCAGCCGCAACGUUGGAGAAGAUGAGUGCCAACUGCCGAGGAGUACUGGAGCUCACCAACUGCAUCUUGACCGGGAUCGAUGCCCUCUUCCUCUUCCAUGUUCAUAUCAUCUUGGAUUGCUGCCUGUUCUGAAGUUGGUGCAAUGGAGCUUGGAGCUCCACCUGCUGGACCUGGAGCCUGUUCAGGUACUGCCACGGUAUAAGUUCAUGCAACAUCAAGCACUAUAGUACUCCAACAUCAUGCAAUAGUACUCU